GAUAUGACAAAAGUUUAUGUAAAUCCCAUGUUUUCCUCAAUAGAAAUUGAGCAAUCUAAUCAAUCUGAUCUUUGCAAGCAAUGUAUGAUGGUAACGGGAGUGGACUCAUCCGGAUGGAGUAUUCAAAUGGACGGCCCAAAUUUACGAUGGAAACACGGCCAAACUUAUUAAACGCAGGAGUUUUACCUAUAUAUCAGCUCCCGUUUACACAUGAAUAAACGAAAAUAAUUUUUAUUUUAUUUUUUUGGCUUCUUUUGAUUGUCCCGGAGGAAAGGUUUGAUCAAAAAGACGAUGCAGAAGUAAUGAAUCUGUGUUUAUUUAUUUUCUCUCUCCUUGAUUGUUGUAUUCUGAUUUGUGUUUGCUUUAUGUGCUUGAUGUAGGAAAUUUAGGGGGCAAAAGUUUAUAACAUUGAUUUAGGAGGAAAACUCUAAUUUCAAAGACGCUGCAGAGGAAGGGAAGAACAAGAUGCACGCAUGGUCAUGGAAGACACAAACAUCUUCCAUCAAACAUAAGUUUGAUACUUUGAUGCUGACAAGAUUGCUGAAAGAUUAUCAAAGGCCCAAAUAUCUCCAUAGAACAUAGAUGCAAUCUUUAUAUGGAAGUCCCUAUUUUAACACGGAAAGAUCAUAUUAGCUUGGCUUCUUAAACACGGGAAUCAGGUGGAAGCAUUUGCUAGCGACAUAACUUCUCGAUAAGGAUUUAGGAUUAUUAUGGAAGCUCGAUGCAAAGUUUUUAUAGACUUGCAUGGGUUUGCAUGGGUUUGAUGGAGAACACAGUCUUAGAUUGGCUAACCUGCUGGAAUGUUCUACAGUACCGGGUCUCAAGGUGGUGGUCAGGAAAGAAUUGCAGUUUUCAGUUGUUGCAGCACAUUAGAGCUUGGAUGAGUAUUAUAUAGAUUGUUUGGGGCUGUAUUAUGCAACGACUUAGUGGGGCUAUGGAUGGUUAUUAUGCAGGUCAAAAUCUUCAUCGCAGUUGUAGAACAAUUGCAAAAUACCUCACUGCUGGGAAAUGCAGAAAUUCUACUUUAUGAAAGAACAGGCUAUGCUGAGAUAUGGAUUUGAUGUUUAAUCACAGAGGUCUGUCUCGAGUACAUGAAUUCUGAUUUUGAAACGCCUGUGAUGGUUCCAAAUUAUCUUUUGGUAUAAAGGAGUCAUGCCUCGACCUGUUUCAACGUCUAGGCAGGUCUAUUGGUUGCUAAUAGUGUGCACUAGGUCAAAGCAAAACCGAAAAACAUAGAUUAAGAAAACAUUGACGUUAUUCGGCUGUCGGCUGUGCAACCUGCAAUCUGAUGAUGGCUUAUGGGCCUUAGGCAUUUGAGUGUGCAGAAUCUGCCAUUUGUACGUGAAGUUGUUGAAAAUUUAGGCGGUGCGGAUGAAUUAAAAUAGUUCUGAUGAUUGAUUAUGGGUGGAUGAUUACGGGACUAAUGCGACGGAGAUGGCAAGAGAAAGCAUAAGUGGCCAGCAAAUUUGAAGUGAUGGAGAAAGAUCACAAUGCGUUAUAUUAGUAAUGUAUUAAUCAGUAUGUGUUUACGGGUUGAAAAAUUUACUUCCUAUUGAUUGUGAUUGUCUGAUAUGGGGUGAUGCCAAGUUUGCCAGAGGAAGAGAUGACAAGCAUUUUGAGAAGGAGGGGCCUAUACUCUGUGCUGCAUCAGAUAACUGAAGCAACUACGGUUCCCAAAAUAUGAAGUAAGGCUCAGGUGAGUGUUCAUAGUUUUGGAUAUAUGUUGAUUUGAGCUUGGAAUAACCUUUCGUGGGUUUACUAUCAGUUACCGGCCACAAAGAAAUCGGUGAGCAAUUUACCACAAUAAUUCUUUCUGAGAUAUGAUUUAUAGAUACUUGAAUAUAGGUAGAGUAAUAGAGUGCUUAUCCCUUCUAGAAUGUCAACUCUGCGACUUUCGUAUAAUUCAAACUUUAAGGACGAUACACUUUUACAUUUUUGUAUCUUAGUUUCUAGAAUGUCACCAACCAGAAGUUUUUAAACCAUAUAGGAAAGACUAGGACCAUGAUUGGCUAACCAUGUCACUUGCUCCCUAGGAUGUGAAUGAAGUCCAAUUUGAUAAAGCAUGGGCAUCACUUUGUAGGGGUCUUCUUUGAUGACCUUGAAAGUGGAUCAAGCGCAGUCGCAGCAACACCCACUUCAGGUGGAGAACACAAUUUUUCAAUUUGUUGAUUAGUAUUUCAAUUAUAUAGAAUAAUGCAUUUAAAUGAGUUGAAAUACUGCUUUUACUGUUUGGAGUAAACCGAUUGCAUUCUGGAAAAGAGUUUGGUGACAAACGAGACGAGACACCGGAGUUAUGACUAAACCAGUGGAGUUCUGGACCUCUGGUAUGGAAUGAUGGCUCCUCUACUUGAAUUGCCUACAGAUUGUCUGUUUAAAUUGUUUGAAGAAGCCAGAAAUGCAGAACUUUUAAGAGUUUCAGAAACCCUUAAAAUUUGACGUGCCAUUGUCAAGAAACACCAAUGUAGAACAAGCCUUCCCCAGGGAUAAAUUUAGAUCUUGCAUGAUCAGCACUAUAAACCUACCAUUUCUCUAUGAAAUUGUCCAGAUCUAGGCACCAUGGAUAAAUUUAGAUCUUGCAGACAUUUGUCUAUGAAGUAUGGGUAGUUUUCUAAAUUUUGAUUUAUGUUGUAGCUUUCCUUUGUAUUGGGCCUAUUGGAAUGUUAAUCAGUUUAAGUUUCAAGAAUUUGAAUUCGUUCAAGAA